rnacentral:rRNA from 1 species
CCUACGGGUGGCAGCAGUGAGGAAUAUUGGUCAAUGGUCGGAAGGCUGAACCAGCCAUGCCGCGUGAAGGUCAGUGCCCUAUGGGCGUUAAACUUCUUUUGUGCGGGAGCAAUAAUGGUCACGUGUGGCCAGACGAGAGUACCGUACGAAUAAGCAUCGGCUAACUCCGUGCCAGCAGCCGCGGUAAUACGGGGGAUGCAAGCGUUAUCCGGAUUUAUUGGGUUUAAAGGGUGCGUAGGCUGGGAGGUAAGUCAGCGGUGAAAUGCCCCCGCUCAACGGGGUGAAGUGCCAUUGAUACUGCCUGGCUGGAAUGCGGAUGCCGUGGGAGGAAUGUGUGGUGUAGCGGUGAAAUGCAUAGAUAUCACACAGAACACCGAUUGCGAAGGCAUCUCACGAAUCCGCGAUUGACGCUGAUGCACGAAAGCGUGGGUAUCAAACAGGAUUAGAUACCCUUGUAGUC